rnacentral:rRNA from 1 species
GAUGAACGCUGACAGAAUGCUUAACACAUGCAAGUCGAUGGGGAAGUGGUGCUUGCACCCUGGUAACCAUGGCGGACGGGUGAGUAACGCGUAAGGAACUUACCUGCGGGACCGGGAUAACAGCAGGAAACUGCUGACAAGACCGGAUAAGGUCAUUAAGCUGCAUAGCUUAGUGAUGAAAGGAGACGCCUGCGGAGAGCCUUGCGUCCUAUUAGCUAGUUGGAGGGGUAACGGCCCACCAAGGCGAAGAUAGGUAGCCGGCCUGAGAGGGUGGACGGCCACAAGGGGACUGAGAUACGGCCCUUACUCCUACGGGAGGCAGCAGUGGGGAAUAUUGGACAGUGGGGGCAACCCUGAUCCAGCAAUUCUGUGUGCACGAAGACGGUUUUCGGAUUGUAAAGUGCUUUCAGCAGGGAAGAAGGAAGUGACGGUACCUGCAGAAGAAGCGACGGCUAAAUACGUG